CCCAAGUACGCAACAAUCCCGAAUCACAGUUAAUAAUUGAUUUCGAGUAGAACACGUUCAACACUCUCUUUCGUCUUUAUAUAGCCUCAGUUCGCUGCAAAUUCUCCACAAAAUAUUUAUUCUUAGCCACAUAUGUAAACAAGCUACCAAUUGGCUAAGCGUUGAUCAGUUAGAACACACACCACUACAAACCGAAGUUUCCGUCACACCCAAACCACCAAUUGGUCCCUACCGUAGCUCAGGCCAGCCUAGAUCCGCCGUCUUCCAUCAUCUCAUUGUCAUUGUCGUUGAUCUCAGACUAGCCACCAGCCCGUUGCAAGUCUCUUUUCUCUCUAGAGAUAAUCCAGGAGGCAAGCAAAUGGAUAGCAGAGGCAACUCCGAGAACCUAAGGUGACACAAUGGGAGAAAGUUCCCAAGGAAGAGGGGUUGGACGAGGUAUUCGUGCCAGACGAUUUGUACCGUACUCAUGUAGAGCUAGCCGAUCACGAGAAAUUCGCAUUGAUUCAUACCACAACCCUUCAGAUGCAGAUCAAUCAGACUCGAAUGACUCAGCGCAGCCUCCCAGUCAUCCAUGGGAGCCUCCAUGUCUCAUUCCAAUGCCCCCACCCGAGCCGAAUAGAGAACCCUCACCCGUACAAGAAGUCCCACCAAACGGAGACAAUAUCGGUACGGUCAUCAUUUCUAAACUUUUUUCAAUAUAGAACCCCUAGGACAUAUAUGUGUAAACAACAAAGAUUAAAUAUGAAGACUAAUAGUCAAUUCUUGUUAUCUUGAAAUAUAGAUGCGACCACCCCCACGAUGCCUACAGCAAACCUGGAACAGCACAAACGUAGACAUGGGCCUGCUAAGUGUAUUGAGUUCGAGAAGUUGAGGAAGCAUGGAAAAGUGCUUUUAAAAAUUAAUGACAGAGAAACAACACCGUGCUAUGAGAAUGCAUCCAUGUUCAUGACACGGGUAACGUAAAUUGUAAAACAACAUUGCGACAUGAGUUAUGUGAGAUAGACCGAUGUACUGCAAACACAAAAGGAUGAGUUGAUCGACUGUGUAAGGGUAAGACAGUUGUUAUUUCAUUUUGAGGGUAAGGAAGUGGGCGUACAAUACAACAUGAUGUUAACGUGAUGUUCAACCAUGUAGGGUGACUUCGUGUUGAAUUGGGAUCGGAAGAAUCAUAGAUUGACCAUCUUGAAGCAAUUGCGUAAGCAUUUCAAUUCAUUCCAUCACAAAUUACACAAAAAAUAUUUAUCAUACGGAAGUCACGAAGAAGCAUCGGCUUCUGGGAGUACCAUGGUCAACUUGCACGUCUGGGUUAAGUUGUGUGGGAAGUGGGGAAGCAACAAAUUCAAGAAAAUCUCAAGACAAAAUCAAGAGAAUAGAAAGAGGCUAACCAUUAACCACACAGCAGGCCGCAAAUCCUUUGUUAGAAUACUGGAGGAAAAGGUAUAAUAUUUCAACUGAUUUUUGUCGUAACUUUUAUGGUCACAACCCAUUCUCCCAUAACCUUGCUCAAAACCCAUUUGCUGCAUUUAUACUAGUCCACUAAUUUCAUUAGACAUUUGUAAGGGUGCUCAUAAUAUGGAAAAUCAUGUUGGUUAAGGUCAUCUCUAGUUUGAUAACGCAUAAAAGGUUGUUUCCUAAAAAAAUAGAAACUUAGUUUGUACAGUUUUGAGAUCUAACCGUAUACAAGUUAAUUGUUAGCGUAUAAAUACUUAGAAUGUAGGAUAAUAGAGUUGGGGACAACUUAUUUAACAUACGACAUAAUAAUUGGUUAGAAGGACAUCUUAUGUUGU